AUGGCAACUGCCGAUGAUCUCAAGAAGCUUGAGGAGGAACUCAAGAACCGCGAGUCCAUCAUCCGGACCCGCGAGGAUGAACUACAACGCCAAGCUGAAGAACGGGGGAAGGCUGUCGUCCUCCCUGCGGCCUCCACGUACGCCGCUUCCAUCAAGACCUUCGUCCCCAUCACCCUUGAUCUCCACGACUCCAACUACGCCAAGUGGCGUGAGCUAUUCCUCGUCGCUCUUGGUCGCUACGGUCUCUCCAAUCAUGUUCUCUCAGAGAAUACCCCAACGGACACCUCCCACACCUCUGAUUGGGGUCGCGAUGACUUCAUUGUCCUCUCAUGGAUUUAUGGAUCGAUUUCUCUCGAGCUCUUCGGCGUCAUCAUGAAACCAGGUUCCACCGCAAAGCAAGUUUGGGAUGCCAUCGCCAACCUAUUCCGAGACAACAAGAAGAGUCGUGCUCUGGCUCUCGAUGCAGAAUUUCGCAACACAACUCAAGGGGACAUGACGAUCUCCGCCUAUUGUGCCAAGCUUAAGACUCUCUCUGAUGCACUUGAUGAUGUCGAGCAGCCGGUCACCGACGAGACCCUCGUGCUGACCUUGCUUCGCGGCCUCAACGAACAGUACUCACACCUGCGUUCGUUCCUUCCGUUCCAAGUGCCGUUUCCAUCCUUCCUUCAGACACGGUCCGCGCUUGUUCUUGAGGAAGCCCAGAAAAAGACCGAUGCAAAGAAUUCUGCCUCCACUGCUCUUUGGGCCAGCGGCAACAGUGUGCUUCCCGGCGCUGGUGGCGAACGCACUCCACCGCCGAAUGAUGGGUGCUCCUUCUCCACUGAUCGCCGCGGCCCAGCACCACUACCUUCUCCAGGAGGCCGCGGAGGAAGCAAUAGUGGCCGCGGCCGUGGCCGUGGCGGGCGUGGUCGUCGCGAUACACCAUGGAUGUACAAUCCAUGGACUGGACAGCCGACGCGUCUCCAUCAGCAACAGAUGCCGUCGCCUCAUUAUCAUCAACCACCAGCAUCGUCGCCAACUUGGUCGCCUCGUCCAUGGCGCCCUACAGCUCCUGGGGUACUCGGUCCACGCCCUACCACACCGUCCCCACAAGCGUAUGCAGCAUAUGGUCAUGGUCCUGCGGCUCCUUACAACCCUCCAGCGCAUUACAACAACUUCCAGCAACAUGUAGACCCAGCGCUCCUCACCGCGCUCAACAACAUGCAGCUCCCCGGCAACCAGGAGUGGUUCAUGGACUCUGGCGCAUCGUCCCAUAUGGCAUCUGAUCCUGGUGCGCCGUGGCUAGGCUCAAGCCGCCCGGAAGGAAAUAUCGCCUUGCACAUCUCGCGACCACGCGUUAUCCAACAAAGCCUGCCGAACAGUGCUAGCAUUGAGCGCCCUCGUGCUGACCAUCUCCAGAAUCAACAGAGCGAUCUCUCCGACCGUGAAGCCAUGAAUCCAUCUGUCCGUCCAAAACAAGACCCUCUCUCCAUUGCCAAGCGCGAUCUUGAUGAAGUUGUUGAAGAUCAACUUGACCUCGGCAUCAUCAGAAAGCGGGAUGCCCUGCCACGGGCGAAGCAUAUCCGUUCUGUGAAGCCAUUCCCAGCGCACCCUCAGAGCGAUGACCUGUGUGCUCAGAUCCUUGAUGCCCAGACCAUCAAGACUCGUCGGCCGACAGACUGUGUCCCAAGCUACCAAACACUGCCCACCAUUGACUUUAUCUUUCCCGGCCCAAAAGAAAGCCCGCAUCCACCUAUCAGUUUCCCUUCAAAAGGGAUCAGCUACCAACCCAGCAAGAUUACACGAGAGACGUGGUAA
rnacentral:rRNA from 1 species